GCUGAGCUGUCCCGAUUUCCAUUUACCGUAGACAAUUAGUUGCACUAACUUUUGUAUAGUAAUUUUUAUUCCAUCCAUUACAAACAGCACAUUAUUCUCUGUGAGGAAAACCAAAACCAAACUAAAAAAACACGCAUUCCAAAUUUCUUAAAAAUGUUCGCUGUUACCUCGUCGUAAGCAACAAAAAGAUGACAUUUACCAGUUUCCUCUUGGACAAAACAAAACAAAGUUGCUCACUAGCAAAAAAGAAAGAAGAAAGUAUAUAAAUCCAGCUCAAGGAGAUGCGGUUGCGGCAAUGAUUGAUCGUAUUUGCCCCCUGCCACUCUCGCGUCUUCCCCCCAUUGCGUGGUGUUUUUGUGGACGACGGCGUCGUCGUCGCCAGCUUCUUGUGGCCAUCGUCUUCCCCCCUCCCUCUUCGCUGAAUCCUCCCAGAAAAAUCGGUUCUUGCACAGGGAAUUCAGUCUAGUUCUGUUUGCAAUCCUAUUCUUCCUCCGGGUCGGCCAAAUCUCUCGUUUUUUCUCGCGUGAAAAUCGUUCGUGCUGGUUCGUUUCAACCCCCGAGUCUCUCGUUUUCUUGCUGCCGAACCGCUGGGUUUGUUUUUGCUUCGAUUUAGUCUUUGUUUUCCGGGUCUUGCAUCUGGUGAAGAUCCAAAGGUGCGAACUUUCUGGAGGCUUUUCUCGAAGUUGGCGCGUGAAAUUGGAUCGGUUUCGAUCUAUCUGUUGGUUCCCUGGGCGUUGCUGGUGCGUUCUUGAUCCGGAAGGGUGAGAGAUUUGGCUGGAUUUUUUCCCUGGAGCAUUUGGUGUGCUCGAGGAAGAUGCUCUACUUGAAGCAGCCGACGAGGAGCUAAACUACGCGGAGUCUGAGCCCCCCCCCCCCCCCCCCCCCC
rnacentral:lncRNA from 1 species